GAUGAACGCUGGCGGCGCGCCUAACACAUGCAAGUCGAACGGUUAAAGCCCCUUCGGGGGUGCAUAGAGUGGCGAACGGCUGAGUAACACGUGGGCAACCUGCCCCCCGCACCGGGACAGCCUCGGGAAACCGUGGUUAAUACCGGAUACUCCGCCACCCCCGCAUGGGGGCGGCGGGAAAGCCCAGGCGGAGGGGGAUGGGCCCGCGGCCUGUUAGCUCGUUGGCGGGGUAACGGCCCACCAAGGCGAUGAUGGGUAGCCGGGUUGAGAGACCGACCGGCCAGAUUGGGACUGAGACACGGCCCAGACUCCUACGGGAGGCAGCAGUGGGGAAUCUUGCACAAUGGGCGAAAGCCUGAUGCAGCGACGCCGCGUGCGGGACGAAGGCCUUCGGGUCGUAAACCGCUUUCAGCAGGGACGAGGCCGAAA
rnacentral:rRNA from 1 species